UACGAAAGGGGCUAGCGUUGUUCGGAAUUACUGGGCGUAAAGCGCACGUAGGCGGCCUGCCAAGUGAGGGGUGAAAGCCCAGAGCUCAACUCUGGAAUUGCCUCUAAAACUGGUAAGCUGGAGGAUGUGAGAGGUGAGUGGAAUUCCGAGUGUAGAGGUGAAAUUCGUAGAUAUUCGGAAGAACACCGGUGGCGAAGGCGACUCACUGGAGCAUUUCUGACGCUGAGGUGCGAAAGCGUGGGGAGCAAACAGG
rnacentral:rRNA from 1 species